GUAUUGGUGGUUCAGGGGUAGAAUUCUCUCCUUCCGUGCAGGAGACCCGGGUUCGAUUCCCGGACAAUGCA
rnacentral:tRNA from 1 species